GACGAACGCUGGCGGCGUGCUUAACACAUGCAAGUCGAACGGAAAGGCCCUGCUUUUGUUGGGUGCUCGAGUGGCGAACGGGUGAGUAACACGUGAGUAACCUGCCCUUGACUUUGGGAUAACUUCAGGAAACUGGGGCUAAUACCGGAUAGGAGCUCCUGCUGCAUGGUGGGGGUUGGAAAGUUUCGGCGGUUGGGGAUGGACUCGCGGCUUAUCAGCUUGUUGGUGGGGUAGUGGCUUACCAAGGCUUUGACGGGUAGCCGGCCUGAGAGGGUGACCGGCCACAUUGGGACUGAGAUACGGCCCAGACUCCUACGGGAGGCAGCAGUGGGGAAUAUUGCACAAUGGGCGGAAGCCUGAUGCAGCAACGCCGCGUGCGGGAUGACGGCCUUCGGGUUGUAAACCGCUUUCGCAUGUGACGAAGCGUGAGUGACGGUAAUGGGUAAAGAAGCAACGGCUAACUACGUG
rnacentral:rRNA from 1 species